UACGUAGGGUGCAAGCGUUGCUCGGAAUCACUGGGCGUAAAGGGUGCGUAGGCGGGUCUUUAAGUCAGGGGGGAAAUCCUGGAGCUCAACUCCAGAACUGCCUUUGAUACUGAAGAUCUUGAGUCCGGGAGAGGUGAGUGGAACUGCGAGUGUAGAGGUGAAAUUCGUAGAUAUUCGCAAGAACACCAGUGGCGAAGGCGGCUCACUGGCCCGGUACUGACGCUGAGGCACGAAAGCGUGGGGAGCAAACAGG
rnacentral:rRNA from 1 species